rnacentral:rRNA from 1 species
UACGAAGGGGGCUAGCGUUGCUCGGAAUGACUGGGCGUAAAGGGCGCGUAGGCGGCUUGCACCGUCAGAUGUGAAAUUCCUGGGCUUAACCUGGGGGCUGCAUUUGAUACGUGUGGGCUUGAGUGCGGAAGAGGGUCGUGGAAUUCCCAGUGUAGAGGUGAAAUUCGUAGAUAUUGGGAAGAACACCGGUGGCGAAGGCGGCGACCUGGUCCGUGACUGACGCU